UCCCCUAGUACGGCGAGUGAAGCGGGAAGAGCUCAAAUUUNAAAUCUGGCGGUCUCGCGGCCGUCCGAGUUGUAGUCUAAAGAGGCGUUAUCCGCGGCGGACCACGUACAAGUCCUUUGGGAUGCGGCGUCAUANAGGGUGANAAUCCCGUCCNUGACGUGGACUACCGUCGCUUUGCGUUGCGCCUUCGAANAGUCAAGUUGUUUGGGAAUGCAGCUCAAAACGGGGGGUAAAUUCCNUCUAAAGCUAANUACAGGCGANAGACCGAUAGCGAACAAGUACCGUGAGGGAAAGAUGAAAAGAACUUUGGAAAGAGAGUUAAACAGUACGUGAAAUUGCUGAAAGGGAAACGCUUGAAGUCAGUCGCGUCUUCGAGGAUUCAGCUCGACUUUUGUCGGGGGCACUUCCUCUGGAGACGGGCCANCAUCAGUUUCGAGCGUCNAANAAUGGCGGGAGGAAUGUGGCACCUUCGGGUGUGUUAUANCCUCCUGUCGGACGCGACGCUCGNGACUGANGACCGCUUUGAUAGGAUGCUGGCGUAAUGGCUUUAAACGACCCGUCUUGAAACACGGAAAUGGCUUUAANCNACCCG
rnacentral:rRNA from 1 species